AACCUAAACCCGCUAGAGCAAGACAACACUCCUACUCGACUAACCUUCUAAGCUAAUACGCGUUCUCCACAUCCUCCUAUCUAAAGUCAUGUCCUCGGUAAUCUCUGAUCAACAAAAGGUUGUUUUUAUUUACAGAAAAAAAAAGGAAUGUUAUCACUCCUAUCACUUUAUCCUGGCUUCAAUACUACAAAAGAAUAAAAGUUAGUUUGAUUCGUAUCGCACUAUUUUGGUUUUGUUUGAGUUCCUCUCUUGUAGACUUUGCAUUGCUUCCCUUGUUAGUUUUUAUGUUUGUCACACCCCUUUUUUAACUCCAAAAAUAUUCAUUUCAAGUUCGAAAGGGUUUUUAUUAUUAAGUGACAAAAGAAAGAUUGUUUCGAAAAGGAUUCAUUAUAUUCAAAACUCAGAGUCGCCACUUGGCAUAAUCGGUGUGCCAAGUCACCAUUGAAAAUCCUUUUUCGAAAAUGAUUUUGACUCUUUUAAACCUAUCUGCGAACAGAGAUUCCGGUUAAGGAAUUCUGUUGACCGAGGGGAAGGUUUUAGGCACCCCUCGAUCUCGUGGUUCGACCACGGUCGCUUGGUGAAGCAUAUCGGCUAAUUUGACAUUACAAAUGUAUAAACCACACAAGAGCACAUAAAACAAUCAAUCAAACACACGAAAUAAAACAAAUCCAAAAUAUAGUGUUCAAUCCCAUUAUACAGUCCAAAAAUAAAAAUGCGAAAAAUAAAUCCCAUUCUAACCUACACUAGUCCCAACUACGCUUCCGUACUUUACCUGAUGCCUCGGGCCUUGAUCACGAUCAUCUUCCGCCAACAUAAUACGUCGGGGCAUUCCCCGGUGAAUAAAUACAAUGAGCCUUGGGCAUUCCCCAACUAAAUGAAUACAUUUUAAUCAAAGUACGAUAAACUCAAAAACAUUCACCACACAUACAUUCAACUUUCAACAUUCAACGAUAUCACUAAACUUGCCUAUCCGAACCUAAACUUUACCUAUUAAGCUCUCGGCCUAAAAUAUGCUCCUAUUGAUUUCAACAACGCCAUCAAGUCAAACAACCAAUGAAUCAAAUUAACCAAAAUUCACCAAUCUUAUCAAUUUUCAUCCCUCCCAAAAUUCAUUUCUUAACCAAACGAUUAAUCAAUUUCAAAGUAACACCAACCAAUCAAAUCGUGACAAUUAAAGAAUGUCAAACACACUGUCAGGAUUAUAUCAUCAAUUAACACGAACCACGCAAAUCACAGCAUCAACACAUCAUGCUACGAUAAAAAUGGAAAAGAUAGAGUUGAAGAAUUAGACCUCAAAUUGACGCUUUGUUAAACGGAGAAAAAGCCUCAUGGAUUCGGAAACCACAAACUAGCAGAACCUCGACCCAAAUGAAACCUCAACUUCGCACAACCAACUUGUUAUAUCCAUUUUUGCUCUAUUUUUCGCCUACUCGAACCUAAAUUGCGAAGUGACAAAAGACCCGUAUUCGAAUGUGUAUGCCCCGUUACUGUGUCAAUCGUGUUCCAAUGAAUUUUGGGUUGUAAUCUGCAGCAUUUGUGGACUGGGGUUUUGUUUUUGUCUCACCAGACCUCGGACAAGGUUAGGCGAUGACAGAAAACCGAAAAAUGGGUUGGAUUUUCUGGUGAUAGUGGCGUUUGUGGCUGGAGUUUAUGGUUUUGGCCAGAAGUGGGGGUAGGAGGUAGCUGGUCGGUGUUUUCGACAGGUUUCGGUGAGGGCUCGCCGGAAAAGUCAAGAGAAACGGCUCUCCAUUCAACCCCCUACUUCCGAUCUCUCCUCGUGUUUUCUAACCUCUCUUAUCCUCCUCUCUCUCUCUUCAAUUCACUCUGUUUUUUCUACUCUCUACGAUUUCUCUAUAUCAGUGAAUCUGGUUUUUGGUGAGUGUCGUGGACAAGAAGAAAGGAAGCUCCCCCUUUCAUUAUGUUAACUGUCAAGAGGAAAAAGAAACCAUUUCUCCCCUCUAUGUUCUGUGGGGCCCCUUUUAAUCUUUUUCGGUGGGGGCCUCGUGAGUGGAAAAAAUGUAUAUUGUAUUCUUUUUUGAGUGAUGUCCACCUUUCCAGUGAAUGUAGUGCAUUCCAUUUUUAGACGGUAGGUGAUGGAAUAAUUCUAUGGACCCCACCUCUAUUUGUUGUCUUGUGAAUUGGUUUCAAAGUGAAUAAAAUGUGAGGGGUAAGGGUUACGUGGGUAGGUAGGGUGUUGGGGGUUGGGUAGUGUAGGUAGUGAGGUGAGGUGUUUCCAUUUGAAAUGGUAGGUUGUUGGUUUGUUAUUUUUUUUUUUUGUCUUUUUUGCGAAGGGAUUAUCGUACGGGGUAGGGUACGCAGUAGGAUAAGGUAAAAAUGGUUGAAAAUAAUAUCGGGGAGGGAUGAAAUUAGGUGUCUACAAUAUUUUCUUCACUAUUUCCUUCUUCUUUGCGCUUGAGUUGAGGGUCUUUUAAGAACAGUCUCUCUAUUUCGAAGAGGUAGUGGUAAGGUCUUCCCUGUACACUCUACCCUUCCAAGACCCCACUUGCAGAAUU
rnacentral:lncRNA from 1 species